GAUGAACGCUGGCGGCGUGCCUAACACAUGCAAGUCGAACGAAGCGCCUUUUGAGAUUCUUCGGAUGAUCGAUUGGUGACUGAGUGGCGGACGGGUGAGUAACGCGUGGGUAACCUGCCCGGUAAAGGGGGAUAAAAGCUGGAAACGGCUGCUAAUACGGCAUAGGCGCCGGGGGAGACAUCUCCUUGUGUGAAAAACUCCGGUGGUACAGGAUGGGCCCGCGUCUGAUUAGCUGGUGGGCAGGGUAACGGCUUACCAAGGCAACGAUCAGUAGCCGGUCUGAGAGGAUGAACGGCCACAUUGGAACUGAGACACGGUCCAAACUCCUACGGGAGGCAGCAGUGGGGAAUAUUGCACAAUGGGGGAAACCCUGAUGCAGCAACGCCGCGUGAGUGAAGAAGUAUUUCGGUGUGUAAAGCUCUAUCAGCAGGGAAGAUAAUGACGGUACCUGACUAAGAAGCUCCGGCUAAAUACGUGCCAGCAGCCGCCGCCGUAA
rnacentral:rRNA from 1 species